AGCGAACGCUGGCGGCGUGCCUAACACAUGCAAGUCGAACGUGAAAGGGAGCAAUCCCAAGUAAAGUGGCGUACGGGUGAGUAACACGUAGGUAAUCUACCCCAGAAUCUGGAAUAACCGGCCGAAAGGCUGGCUAAUACUGGAUAGAGCGACGGAAUCCGUAAUUGGGUUUUUCGGGAAAGGGAGCCUGUAAAAAGGCCUUCGUUCUGGGAUGAGCCUGCGUCCCAUCAGCUAGUUGGUGAGGUAAAAGCUUACCAAGGCAAUGACGGGUAGCUGGUCUGAGAGGACGAGCAGCCACACUGGAACUGAAACACGGUCCAGACUCCUACGGGAGGCAGCAGUGGGGAAUCUUGCGCAAUGGGCGAAAGUCUGACGCAGCAACGCCGCGUGAGUGAAGAAGGCCUUCGGGUUGUAGAGCUCUGUCGAGUGGGACGAAAAUGCUUGGAGUUCACAGCUCCAGGAACUGACGGUACCACUAAAGGAAGCACCGGCUAACUCCGUG
rnacentral:rRNA from 1 species